rnacentral:snRNA from 1 species
GCCUGGCUCCCUGUAUGCC